UACGUAGGGGGCAAGUGUUGUCCGGAUUUAUUGGGCGUAAAGAGCGUGUAGGCGGCCAAGCAGGUCAGCUGUGAAAACUCGAGGCUCAACCUCGAGACGUCGGUUGAAACCGCUUGGCUAGAGUCCGGAAGAGGAGAGUGGAAUUCCCGGUGUAGCGGUGAAAUGCGCAGAUAUCGGGAAGAACACCCGUGGCGAAGGCGGCUCUCUGGGACGGUACUGACGCUGAGACGCGAAAGCGUGGGGAGCGAACAGG
rnacentral:rRNA from 1 species